UUUAUCUACAGCGUGCCUUCAGCGACACGUAAACAGAUCUUAAGCAAGGCGAUUGGAUGGUUUUUACUGCAAUGCAUCUUGGGAGUCGUAGUAAAUGGAUCUUUCAACUCACCGUCCAGCGAAUUUUUCGACUCGACACGAGGCAGAUCUUAGCUAGAAAUUAUAAAGCCAAAAACCAAACCAUGCCCUUCCUGUCAGGCUCCAAGCACCUGCAACAGGAAGACAUGCAGUGGAUGCCUGGGCAGCCUGAACGUAAAGGAGGGAUUGAAAAAAAAAAAAACAAGAACAGCAACUGGGCUGCCUCUGUUAAAAAAAAACAGAAAUGCGAGCAGGGUGGUCAAUUCAGCCCAGUUAUCAGUAAGGUUUCAAAACUACAUGCCCUGCCAAUUCUGUUUCUUGGACAGUUUGACCGAAAGGGCCGUAUAGUAGGGGACGUGAUCACAUAGAGCCAGCGGAUGGUGCUGCACGUGACAUCCUCAUGAAGAUGAGGAAACUUUAUGAACACCUUCUGAGAAAAUUACAAGCUUCACCUCCUGCUAAAAAUUCUACACCAGCAGCUGGACCAUCCUCUGCUGACAGUGUCGAUGCUGGACCAGUCCCAGACCCAGAGGCUCUAAACGAGGAAUU